AACGAACGCUGGCGGCAGGCCUAACACAUGCAAGUCGAGCGCCCCGCAAGGGGAGCGGCGGACGGGUGAGUAACGCGUGGGAACGUGCCUCUUGCUACGGAAUAGCCUCGGGAAACUGGGAGUAAUACCGUAUGUGCCCUACGGGGGAAAGAUUUAUCGGCAAGAGAUCGGCCCGCGUUGGAUUAGGUAGUUGGUGGGGUAAUGGCCUACCAAGCCGACGAUCCAUAGCUGGUUUGAGAGGAUGAUCAGCCACACUGGGACUGAGACACGGCCCAGACUCCUACGGGAGGCAGCAGUGGGGAAUCUUAGACAAUGGGCGCAAGCCUGAUCUAGCCAUGCCGCGUGAGCGAUGAAGGCCUUAGGGUUGUAAAGCUCUUUCAGCGGGGAAGAUAAUGACUGUACCCACAGAAGAAGCCCCGGCUAACUCCGUG
rnacentral:rRNA from 1 species